rnacentral:rRNA from 1 species
AUUGAACGCUGGCGGAAUGCUUUACACAUGCAAGUCGAACGGCAGCACGGACUUCGGUCUGGUGGCGAGUGGCGAACGGGUGAGUAAUGUAUCGGAACGUGCCCAGUCGUGGGGGAUAACGUAGUGAAAAUUACGCUAAUACCGCAUACGAUCUAUGGAUGAAAGCGGGGGAUCGCAAGACCUCGCGCGAUUGGAGCGGCCGAUAACAGAAUAGGUAGUUGGUGGGGUAAAGGCCCACCAAGCCAACGAUCUGUAGCUGGUCUGAGAGGACGACCAGCCACACUGGAACUGAGACACGGUCCAGACUCCUACGGGAGGCAGCAGUGGGGAAUUUUGGACAAUGGGCGAAAGCCUGAUCCAGCCAUUCCGCGUGCAGGAUGAAGGCCCUCGGGUUGUAAACUGCUUUUGUACAGAACGAAAAGGUUUCUACUAAUACUAGGAGCUCAUGACGGUACUGUAAGAAUAAGCACCGGCUAACUACGUGCCAGCAGCCGCCGUAA